CUUCAAGAGAGAUGUAAUUAAUAGAUUCAAAACUCAGAAUUUCUGAUAUGUCUAGUAUAUUUUAAGAUAAGUUAACAAAAUAAGGUGGUUGUUGAUUACUUUAGGCCUCAGGUGCAUCUGAAACCAAGAAAAAUUCCUCCCCGUACCACAAAAUCUAGUCCUUUGCUCUGUAGAGAAUAAUCUGUCUGAAAAUGAAAACUGCUGCAUCCGGGAAUUCAGGUUGGAAAAUAAAGAAAUGGAUGGAAGCCACAGAGGGAAUCACAGGUUAGAACACUAGACCUAACAUUUAAGGAAGCUAUCUCUUUUCAGGACCCUCCACCAGCAUUGCCUGCAAUAGCUGCCUUCUGAUUUAGAAACAUGAAAAAAGUUAAGUUACAAAAUAGAAUAGUGACAAACACUAAUGAUACGCAAAAGUAAUCUCUUAAGAAAAGGCAUUACAGGUUCAAUGUUUCCUUUGCCAUUUAUUGGCAGAGAAUUUGAAGAGGGUUGUGAAUUUCUGGAAGAUAGAGAGUAAUGUGUUAGUUCCAAUUCUCAACUAUAUCAUAUUGUAAACAACACAAAGCAUUUAAAGAUGAAAUGUCAUAUAACAAUGAUAAAUGGAGUAAAAAGUUCAUAAAAACCUGAUAUCUUUUGCCUUCCUUUUCUCUUCUCCCAGCACAUCUGUUUUAGAAGUUGGUGCAAAUCUUUCAAGUCGAGCUUUUUUCUUUGCUUCCUCAUCAGCAGUCGCAAGAAGUCCAAAUCUCUCUGCCCUAGCCUUCCUCUUCAGCUCCUCUGAGGUCUUUACUGCAACCCCAGUGCCAAACCUUUCAGCCCGAGAAUUGCGUUUUUCUUGCUCAGACAACUGAACAGUAAUUCCAAAGCGCUCGGCGCGGCGGAUCUUCUUCUCGGUGUCAGAUACUGCAGCGGUAUCCCCCGAACGCGAGACCGCGGUGCCCUUGCUGCUCUUCGAAUCCUCGCCGUCGUUCUUAAUAGUGUCCGUACCUAAACUAGCGAUGGAUGGGGAAUUGAUGGUGGAAUCCUCUACUCGAUCUGGCACGGCGGGGGCAGCGACUGUCUCGCCUAGGGUUUUGCUAGGGUUGUCUUGGAGAGCAGUAGCGGUUGUGGUGAGAUUCUCCGUAUCAGUUGCCAUAUCGAGAGAGAAUAGGAUAACGGAGAGUGCGAGAGAGGGUUGUUUGGAAUGCUUAAGGAAACUUAAUGGGUUUGGUACCUUUUUAUCGAGAGGAGACUUUAG
rnacentral:misc_RNA from 1 species